CGGGGCGUGGCUCAGCUGGCUAGAGCGUCCGCUUUGGGAGCGGAAGGCCGCCGGUUCAAAUCCGGCCGCCCCGACCA
rnacentral:tRNA from 1 species